GCUCUCAGGGUAGUGAGAGCAACGGCGGCACGGAGGAGAGCUACAAUGGAUAAACUAACGGGCCACGGGAGGACCGCGCUUUGAUUUAUAAUCCGUAGAGAGAUACCAUCUCUUAUGCCAUUCACGAGAGACAAGUGAAAUAAUGGUUAAGGGAUCUCACAACCUCGGAAAUAAACCACCAAUUCGACAUGGAUCCUUCCAAAACAGAGGUUUGAGCAUCGACAGCGCCUUUUAGAAACCGUAUGCCUCCGCCUGCUUCGAACGGCGAAUUUGGGAUGAGAAGCAUUUAUCGUUUUCUGUACAGACACAUGUCCUCUCUUCAUAGGUAAAUAAUCUGAUUUCAUUUCCUCGGUAAAACCUAUUCUAUAUGCUAGCCAUAUGCUUCUCAUCCUUUACCGGAACCCUUACUGUUGACUUCCACGCGGAUACGCAGCCCUCCAUUGGAUGGCAAAAGAACCAGGACAAAUUUCCUCGCAUUGAAAAGUGGAAUCCAUACGAUACUCUGGCAGUAUGUACGAGGAGGAGUCGGUUGCUAUCUUUGGUUAUCUAGCUGUAUGAGUGUUACUCGGCCGUCAUAAAGCUAGCUAACCGAAUGUAGGAAUGUCCUCCAAACCUGCGACUCGGACAGGAAUAAAUGGUGUCUAGGAGUAAAGACACAAAAUAACAUAAUUGAUAUGCAAUUACAGGCCAAUACCUCAUUGCCUUUCCGGUAAGUUAUAACAAUUUUCCCUAAUCAUUUAUUAUAAACAUCUGUUGAAACACUUCUGAAUUCCUCAAAACCUGAUACAACCCGAAAUUAAUGCUUUUUCUUAUUUCAUUGAGAGAAUAUAUUCUCAAAAUAUAACUAGGGUCAUCUUUAUAGCAUGCCUUUAAAUGAUAAGUCAACAUGUUCCACAAUGGAUUCAAAAUCAUGUUGUGAAUUGAAGUGUAUAUUUGCCACUUUUGUUUAGUAUACUUAGAGCAAGAAUACUCUUUAUACAUUUAUUUAUUCCAUCACGCAAGGCAUCUAGAGUGAUUUUGCCGAAAACAUAUUCUAAAACGAAAAAUACUUCAGAAAAAGCCUUUAUUCCGGUCAGAGGAAUAGAUAACUUUAUCCAGUUCUAUGAGUGAACUGUAACAAUUGAUAUUCGGGCAUGAAUAUGAAUAAAGCUUUGUCGCAUCAAAGUAUCCGUAGUUGACCAGUAUUCCUUAUAGUUCUCACUGCAUAAAUCAGGUUUACGCACACGCAAACACAUAUUGAAUUAAGGUUUAAUCAGAUGGAUUAAGAUUUGUGGCUCAUAUUGAUAUCAUUCUUGUCUCAGGUGGAAACGUUUUGAUUUUCCAGAAUAUGGCUGAUAUUAGCCUUUAUGACGUAUUUAGGCAUACUAUAGGCCAACGCCUAUGAAAAAGACGGUCCUGAUUAAGAUGAGCUAUGUCAGUCGAUAUUUCAGUCGAUAUUAAGUCAAGCGAUCCAUGUCAUUACAUAAACGCAUACUUUCAGUUGUAUUCUCACAUGGAGUUGUGUUGUCUAGAAAGGAAGAACACUUAAGAUAUUCAUGGUUUUUCUAGAUUUAAAUGCAUUAUACCUCCCAUGUGAGUCUCACAAUACCUUUACGCAUUGUGCGCACACCUAAUCGGCAUAAAUUAUUCAAGUGUCUCAAUUUGGACUUUCUGCCUGGCCCUUCACGGUGCUAUAGCUAUUCCUCAAAAGGCAACUUCUAUAGCUUCUCUUGGAGAACCAAAUCCGGGGAUGCAUUUUCAUUCAACCAACAACUCCUCUCAGAGCCUACAGUGGCGCUCAAUGGCUGAGGCGCGCUCCUGGCUAAUUGGUUUGAUUCAGUAAAGGAGGCUAUACGCUGGAUUUGUGAAACGUCCGAGCGAGCUUUUCCCACGACUGGCCGGAUCUCUCCAUUCUAGUGUGUCACCAGACAAUUUAGAAUUUCCACUGGUCAACCCAGUGACAUAGGGCCUACCAGUCGCUACUCUGAUAAUAUCGUCCUUAACCAAAACCGCGUCCUCUUGAUGUCUAUUGUGAGUUUUACAUUAUCCAAGUGUAGGCCGAUAUCUUCCUCGGGUCUUUUAAUACUGAGAGUAGGCUAGUUGUUGAUGAUGGAAAUUAACAACUACUAUUAACUCACUUGAUUUGAACAUUUCGUAUUCUGAUCAAUCUCAAUUUAUGCUUAAAAUAUCCAUCAAUUAUUAUGUAUUGUUCCUUCACCUUUAUUCACUAACUGCAUUCUGAUUGUACCUCUACUAUCCUCAAAACAAAAGCCUUGUGUCGACCUCCUCCAACCUGCCUAUCUGAAUCUCCUCAUCAAUAACUGUAAUGCAGGCUCUGAUCCAUACAAGUCCCAACAAAGAAGAAUGGAGACAUUAUCUAAUUCAACCACACCUAUCUCACCACUCUAUUCUUCUCUAGGCCUAAUCUAUAUAAACGUGUCCUUUGCCUGUUGUAGAAGAACCCUUGGCAUGACUAUUCUAUUACCCGACAAUGAUCAAAUUAAUUGUUGCUGAAUGUUAGUGAUGAGAAUUCAAGCAUAUUGUUUUAAUGGAUAUGUUUAGUAUUUUAGUUUUUUGCACUAUUGCAUUGUAUUGUAUUUGGAAAUGUCUUUGUUAUUGUCAAAGGUUGAUCUAGUGCCCUUGUCACUGCAGUGGCUGCCUGAGAUACACCCACAAACUCUGCAGUAUGAACAGCACAAACUGUCUACUAAAUGUGACUGCCAGCCAUUCACACCAGGUCUGGAUUGAGCAAGGGGAAAGUGGCACAGUCGUCACAAAAAAACAGAAAGCAGGAGGGGAAGAAAAAGGCCAACCCCCUUGUCCCUCUUCCCUUAAAUCUCCAUCACCGGAAGCCUUUGGUGCCAUCUGUGCCCCUGGAGAAAAGGACGGACGAGAUGCCUCCACCCUGUGCCAACGGGGACAAAGGAGCUGCCAGUUAGAGCGGCCCCCCUCGCAGGCAGCCAGAGGACUCUGUGUGACUGACUGGGGCUGAGCUACGGAAGCCAUCUUGAUGGAGAGUCUUGCUGCUGCUCCUAAAAUGGCUGUGUUGGCAUGAGGUCCUGCAGGUGUUGACAACCUCUAGGGGAAGACUCUUCCAUCAGCCCUGAGCCCUGAGCCCUGGGCCCUGAACCCUGAGCCCUGAGCCCUGGGCCCUUCCUCAUUGGCAUCCUCUCCAGUCAAACACUGAGAAAUGAGGGCACUGAAGAAUCCCCCCUAAAGUUAACAGACAAUGCUUGUAGAAAUUUACUGUAAGGACAAUGUUUGGAGAUAUUUACUGUAAGGACAAUAUUUGGAGAUAUUUACUGUAAGGACAAUGUUUGGAGAUAUUUACUGUAAGGACAAUGUUUGGAGAUAUUUACUGUAAGAACAAUAUUUGGAGAUAUUUACUGUAAGGACAAUGUUUGGAGAUAUUUACUGUAAGGACAAUGUUUGGAGAUAUUUACUGUAAGGACAAUAUUUGGAGAUAUUUACUGUAAGGACAAUGUUUGGAGAUAUUUACUGUAAGGACAAUGUUUGGAGAUAUUUACUGCAAGGACAAUGUUUGGAGAAAUGUACUGUAAGCACAAUGGACAACAGAGGACAACAGAUUAUCUGAUGAUAUAUUGCACGGCUGAGAGUGUAUAGUUUCAACAUAACUUUUAACAUUACAGCAGAAUGUAAGACAAUGUGUGUAUGAUGUGAAAUCAAAAGGGAUGAGAUCAACAUGUGUUCAUACCUUAAUCUAAGGACAGGUGUGUGUGUGUGUGUGUGUGGUGCGUGUGCGUGAGUGUGCGUGUGUGUGUGUG